ACAAUCGAAACCGCAUGGUUUUGAUUUGAAAGGCGCUUUCGGGUGUCGCUGAUGGAUGGACCCGCGGUGCAUUAGCUAGUUGUGAGGUAACGGCUCACCAAGGCCACGAUGCAUAGCCGACCUGAGAGGGUGAUCGGCCACAUUGGGACUGAGACACGGCCCAACUCCUACGGGAGGCAGCAGUAGGGAAUCUUCGGCAAUGGACGAAAGUCUGACCGAGCAACGCCGCGUGAGUGAAGAAGGUUUCGGAUCGUAAAACUCUGUUGUUAGAGAAGAACAAGGAUGAGAGUAACUGUUCAUCCCUUGACGGUAUCUAACCAGAAAGCCCGGCUAACUACGUGCCAGCAGCCGCGGUAAUAGUAGGUGGCAAGCGUGUCCGGAUUUAUUGGGCGUAAAGCGAGCGCAGGCGGUUUCUUAAGUCUGAUGUGAAAGCCCCCGGCUCAACCGGGGAGGGUCAUUGGAAACUGGGAGACUUGAGUGCAGAAGAGGAGAGUGGAAUUCCAUGUGUAGCGGUGAAAUGGUAGAUAUAUGGAGGAACACCAGUGGCGAAGGCGGCUCUCUGGUCUGUAACUACGCUGAGGCUCGAAAGCGUGGGGAGCAAACAGGAUUAGAUACCCUGGUAGUCCACGCCGUAAACGAUGAGUGCUAAGUGUUGGAGGGUUUCCGCCCUUCAGUGCUGCAGCUAACGCAUUAAGCACUCCGCCUGGGGAGUACGACCGCAAGGUUGAAACUCAAAGGAAUUGACGGGGGCCCGCACAAGCGGUGGAGCAUGUGGUUUAAUUCGAAGCAACGCGAAGAACCUUACCAGGUCUUGACAUCCUUUGACCACUCUAGAGAUAGAGCUUCCCCUUCGGGGGCAAAGUGACAGGUGGUGCAUGGUUGUCGUCAGCUCGUGUCG
rnacentral:rRNA from 1 species